rnacentral:rRNA from 1 species
AGUUAGGAAUUUUGCGCAAUGGACGAAAGUCUGACGCAGCAAUGCCGCGUGAGUGACGAAGGCCUUCGGGUUGUAAAGCUCUUUUAGUUGGAAAGAAACAAAUGACGGUACCAACAGAAAAAGCACCGGCUAACCCUGUGCCAGCAGCCGCGGUAAUACAGGGGGUGCAAGCGUUAUUCGGAGUUACUGGGCGUAAAGCGCUCGUAGGCGGUUUACCAAGUCUGGUGUGAAAUCCCCGAACUCAAUUCGGGAAGUGCAUUGGAUACUGGUAGACUAGAGUAUAGGAGAGGAGAACGGAAUUCCUGGUGUAGAGGUGAAAUUCGUAGAUAUCAGGAGGAACAACGGAGGCGAAAGCGGUUCUCUAGACUAUUACUGACGCUCAGGAGCGAAAGCGUGGGGAGCAAA